UUUGAACAUGAACAAAGUUUUAGGUACAUCAGGGCCAUUGCUAACUGGAAUAGCAGCUCUAGGAUCGGCUUUCAUGGUUUCUUCCAACAGCCCUUGGGCGGCCACAGUAGCGGCUGUUGCAGGAGCUUUAGCUUCAGCUGUGAACACCUUCGAGCACGGUGGCCAAGUUGGUAUGGUGUUCGAGAUGUACAGGAACAACGCUGGGUUCUUUAAGCAUAUGCAAGAAUCGAUAGAAUCAACGUUGGAUGAAUGUGAUGUGGAGAAAAGAGAAAAUGGGGAGUUGUUUGAAAUGAAAGUGGCAUUGCAAUUGGGAAGAAGCUUAUCAGAACUGAGAGAUGUAGCCAAAAAAUCAAGCUAUUCUCGUAUAGAAGGAAGCCCCAUGGAUGAAUUUACAAGCAAGCUCUUUUGAUCCAAUAUUUUUUGAUGUAUAGAUUCUUUGAUUCAUUCAGUUAACCAAUGAUAUACAUAUAUUUGUACACAAGAUAUAGGUUCAAUCUUGAAUAUAAAUAGGGUUGAUGCAUACAAAUCAAUGUAUCUUAACCACAUUCUUUGGAAAUUGGAAUAAGAAAGUGAUUACUAUUUUUUGUUUCAUAUUGUUUUACUUAAUUGGUUAGGUGGUGGAGACAUUUGGAGUUUGAAGUUAUAUUAGAUUUGUUACUCCAUCUCAUUUUGGAUUGAGUUAUUUAAUUAGGUUAUUCUAGGUUUGGGUUAUUUAAAUUUUUUUGGCCAUUUCGGUGUUUUCUCAUAUAUUUCUACUAUACUUUAAACUCCCGAUUAAUGACAUUCACAUGAAGCGCACAGUACAAAUCUAAAUUCACUCAAACUUAUAACUUUUAAAAAUCUUCAACAACAUAUAUGUUAAUUGAACUAAUAUUUAAUCUGCUCGAUUUUUCUAUCUUAAUUGUUCAUUUUGUAAGAGAUGAAAUAAAAUUACUAUAUUAUUUCAUUUUUAUCCUUUUAAAAGCUAAAUAUGUAAAAGUAAAAUAGUAAAUAAAAAUUAUCGGGUGGCACAAGUAAAUACCAAAACUGCUCGAUUGAUCAUUUAAAACGACGUUAGGAACCAACUAGGCAAAUAGGUUUGAAAAGAAGAGGCUGGUAGAAACAAUUCAAUGCCAACCUUUAAAAUGAAUUGGCUUUGAGGAAUGCAUGGAUUGCAUGGAAAUCUUUGAAACUCGAAGGAGAUUUGAAAAACAUUGAUCUCUUGUCUUCAUAAUUGCCUUACAAAUUAGACCAUUUCUCGUUGGUAUGUCACCCAUCUGCUGGCUGAGUGUGGAGCAACUUGGCUAACUUUCAGCGCCAAUAACGCGUAAUAAAAGCUUCAAACCAGACAACCGCCGAGGGUCUUUAGGGACCAACGCUCCUUUUGUCUUAGCUCUUGCGUAACAACAUAACUUCAUGCCCUUACCAUGUCUUAUUGUUUUUCUAAUAUAUAUUGGGAUGAUUACAAAUGUCUUGAAAGCAUUUCGGCUACAACCCAAGCCUACUACAUGCUCACCUCUACUACCUUAUGAUUUUAAAAUAUUUUGGGUUAAUGCACCAUUGUUCUGAGACUUGAUUUUUUUAUUUCAAAUUAGUCCCUGGUAUUUUCUUAAGAAAAAGUUAGAGAAAAAGGUUAAAGUACGAAUAUGAUACAAUUGUCAAGUUUAGAGAUUAACUUGGACAAAUAAAAAGUUCAAGCUCAAAUGUGGAAAUAAUUGUCAAAUUCAAUGAUUAACUGGGACGAAAAAAAAAUUCAAACCCCCUAAUUUGAGAACCGUUGCCAAGUUCAAGUCAUAAAAAAUGAAUUUACCUUAAUAUUUUUUAUACCCUAGCCCGAAUUUGGUUUGAUUUGGUCCUAGUUUAUAUAAUUCAAACUUCAAAUGCAUAGAAAAAAAAUUUCUAGUUUAAACCAAUGAAUUUAUAUAAUUUUUAUUAUUACUUAUAACUCUUUUAAAAACCCUUAAAACGAAAGAUAAUAUGCACUUAAAUAUUAAUUUUAUAAUUGAUUGUCAAUAAAGUUUUGACUCAAUGACAAAGUUAAUUAUAAAUGAGAGAAUUAUAUCUAGAUUUAUUCAGAUUAAUAAAUUAAAUUAAUUAUUUGAUUCAAUAUUUAAAAUUUUCAAAUACUCGAGCAAAGUUGAAAAAAACAAUCAAAACGAUAAUUAUAAAAUUUAAUACUAAAAAUGGAAAAAAAAAUUAGUAAUUUAGCCUCUCUUAUAGAUAAGUAAAAAGGAAAUUCAUACAUUCAACAUUACAUAAAUAAAUAGACUUUACUAAUUCAAUAAAAAAUAUGAUUUUCAAAUUAAAAAUCAAAGAUGAAACCAACUUGAGUUUAAUCAAUUGGGUUCAUAUAGUUAUCAAUGUGAUCCUUGAUUUUUAGUUUAGUCUAUUAUUGACCAAUUCAUUUAAAGAAUGAAAUAACUUUAAUGUUAAAUAAAAUGUAUGGUGAAUUAUUGAUAAAAAUAUAAAUUAAAAUUAAUAACCUUAAUAUAAUUUUUAAGAGAUUAUAAUUACAAUUUAUUAAUGGAUUAACAAAAUUAGAUUUAAAUUUUAAAAUCUGAAAAGUAGAGAGACUGAAUUCCUAAAAGAAAAAGUAUAGGGAUUAAAUUCUAAAUUUAUGAAAAGUAAAGGGACUCCUGGCAUGUUUUAACCUAUCAUAUAACAUUGAACGAGACAACUUCUUAAUAGGUCAGCCAAUGUAAUAAAGAUAAGUCAAGUCAAGGAGACAGUCAGAUUUUCCAACACAUUAGGAGACCAAAUCAGCAGCUAAGCCUAAACCAUCGUCAGUUUGCUAUAAAUACGCCUCCAUCGCAGUCUCUCACCUUUCAUCCCUAAAACAUCUACAAAUCCAUUCUUUAAUUUCCUUUCAAUUCAACCCACAAAAUUUCUAAAUUUCCAUUCAAAAUUCUAAAUUUCUAAAUAUGGCUUCUUUACAUGCUUCUAACUUUCUCCUCUCAUCAUCUUCUUCUUCAAACCAAAUCCGUGCUGCUAUAUCCAUCCCAAAGCUCCCAUCGGUAAGAUUUUCAGCCCCUAAAUUACGACAACCCAAAACACAGUCCGAGCAAUUGAAUAGUAAAGACGGGUUCAUCAACACAAUCCCAAUCCAAAACAAUGUCCAUAGCACACCAUUGGUUCAACAAACCUCAUCUGUUUCAAUGGCUACCUUUCAACUGUAUGCCAUCUUAGAGGCCAUAGCUGACAGAGUGGAGAUGCAUAACAACAUUGGGGAACAACGAGAUAACUGGAACACCCUUCUACUCAACUCCAUCAAUAUGAUUACCCUCACCGCCACAACCAUGGCAGGUGUCGCCGCCCGCAACUGGCGUUGGCGCUGGGGUUUCUGCUAUGGGUUUGAAGUUGGCAUCCAGUGUGAUGUUCUCAGCAGCCACUGGGAUGUUGGUAUUGAUGAAUAAGAUUCAACCCUCACAGCUUGUGGAAGAGCAACGUAAUGCCACGAGAUUGUUUAAGCAGCUGCAAUCCCAAAUCAAAACCCUACUUGCUGUUGGUUCUCCAUGCCAAGAUGACGUGAAUGAUGCUAUGGAGAAAGUGUUGGCACUUGACAAAGCUUACCCUCUUCCUUUGCUUGGUGUUAUGCUUGAAAAAUUCCCUGCAAGUUUAGAGCCUGCUGUUUGGUGGCCUACAAAACAGUCUCCAAACUCAAACAAAGCAUUGACGAACAACAAUGGGUGGACCAGGGAAUUGGAAAUGGAAAUGAGAGAAGUGGUUGAAGUAAUAAAGAGAAAAGACAGUGAAGAUUACGAGAGAUUAGGCAACAAGGCUUUGAACAUGAACAAAGUUUUAGCUACAUCAGGGCCAUUGCUAACUGGAAUAGCAGCUCUAGGAUCGGCUUUCAUGGUUUCUUCCAACAGCCCUUGGGCGGCCACAGUGGCGGCUGUUGCAGGAGCUUUAGCUUCAGCUGUGAACACCUUCGAGCACGGUGGCCAAGUUGGUAUGGUGUUCGAGAUGUACAGGAACAACGCUGGGUUCUUUAAGCUUAUGCAAGAAUCGAUAGAAUCAACGUUGGAUGAAUGUGAUGUGGAGAAAAGAGAAAAUGGGGAGUUGUUUGAAAUGAAAGU
rnacentral:lncRNA from 1 species